CCUACGGGAGGCAGCAGUGGGGAAUAUUGCACAAUGGGGGAAACCCUGAUGCAGCGACGCCGCGUGAGUGAAGAAGUAUUUCGGUAUGUAAAGCUCUAUCAGCAGGGAAGAAAAUGACGGUACCUGACUAAGAAGCCCCGACUAACUACGUGCCAGCAGCCGCGGUAAUACGUAGGGGGCAAGCGUUAUCCGGAUUUACUGGGUGUAAAGGGAGCGUAGACGGCAGAGCAAGUCUGAAGUGAAAGCCCGCGGCCCAACUGCGGGACUGCUUUGGAAACUGCCCGGCUAGAGUGCUGGAGAGGUAAGCGGAAUUCCUAGUGUAGCGGUGAAAUGCGUAGAUAUUAGGAGGAACUCCGAUUGCGAAGGCAGCCUACUAAACUGCCACUGACAUUGAUGCUCGAAAGUGUGGGUAUCAAACAGGAUUAGAUACCCGUGUAGUC
rnacentral:rRNA from 1 species